UACAGAGGGGGCAAGCGUUAUUCGGAAUUAUUGGGCGUAAAGGGCGCGUAGGCGGCCUGACAAGUGGAAGGUGAAAUCCCUCGGCUUAACCGAGGAACUGCCCUCCAAACUGUUUGGCUUGAGACCGGGAGAGGUGAGUGGAAUUCCCAGUGUAGCGGUGAAAUGCGUAGAUAUCUGGAGGAAUACCGGUGGCGAAGGCGGCAUCCUGGACCGACAUUGACGCUGAACGGCGAAAGCUAGGGGAGCAAACGGG
rnacentral:rRNA from 1 species